CUCAGUAGCCAGGACACACCUUCAACAUUCUUAAGUGUUUGUAUUGAGAAAAAUUGAAGCAGAGUCUUGCCAUGAAGUUCAGAGAAGUCUCCAACCUGUGAUCCUUCUGCUUCAGGUCUUACGGGUGCUAGAAUUACAGGAAAAAUAUCUUCCACGACAGAGCCACACAUCCUGGCGAGGAAUGCCUCAUGCACUCAGCUUGAAUACAGAGUACAUUAUUUGAGUGAACUCCCCUGAUGCUCUUCACCACACAUUAGUGAUAAGAACGGAGAUGGAAUUUCCACUCCCUGCCUGUAACAAGUCAAUAUGUAUCAUAAAGUCGGAGGAGGUUUGGUUAGUUGAAGAUGGACUUCCAUGUGAAGCAUUUGUGAACUGUUAAACAUAACACAAUGAUUAAUAAAAGAUUUACUGUU